rnacentral:rRNA from 1 species
AUUGAACGCUGGCGGCAUGCUUUACACAUGCAAGUCGAACGGUAACAGGCCGCAAGAUGCUGACGAGUGGCGAACGGGUGAGUAAUGCAUCGGAACGUGCCCAGUCGUGGGGGAUAACGCAGCGAAAGCUGCGCUAAUACCGCAUACGAACUAUGGAUGAAAGCGGGGGACCGUAAGGCCUCGCGCGAUUGGAGCGGCCGAUGUCAGAUUAGGUAGUUGGUGGGGUAAAGGCUCACCAUGCCAACGAUCUGUAGCUGGUCUGAGAGGACGACCAGCCACACUGGGACUGAGAAACGGCCCAGACUCCUACGGGAGGCAGCGGUGGGGAAUUUUGGACAAUGGGCGCAAGCCUGAUCCAGCAAUGCCGCGUGCAGGAAGAAGGCCUUCGGGUUGUAAACUGCUUUUGUACGGAACGAAAAGGCUCUGGUUAAUACCUGGGGCUCAUGACGGUACCGUAAGAAUAAGCACCGGCUAACUACGUGCCAGCAGCCGCGGUAAUAC